CGGCUAAAUGCAGGAACGAUAACUAAAAUCAUAAUGAUGUCCUUAUUUGACGGGUCGAUAGCAAUAUCGGCCCUUUUUUU
rnacentral:sRNA from 1 species